rnacentral:piRNA from 1 species
UGACCACAAUGGAAAUCUUUUAAGUAGCC